rnacentral:rRNA from 1 species
AACGAACGCUGGCGGCAUGCCUAACACAUGCAAGUCGAACGAAGGCUUCGGCCUUAGUGGCGCACGGGUGGGUAACGCGUGGGAACCUGCCCUUUGGUUCGGAAUAACCAGGAGAAAUUCUGGCUAAUACCGGAUGAUGUCGAAAGACCAAAGAUUUAUCGCCAUAGGAUGGGCCCGCGUAGGAUUAGCUAGUUGGUGAGGUGAAGGCUCACCAAGGCGACGAUCCUUAGCUGGUCUGAGAGGAUGAUCAGCCACACUGGGACUGAGACACGGCCCAGACUCCUACGGGAGGCAGCAGUGGGGAAUAUUGGACAAUGGGCGAAAGCCUGAUCCAGCAAUGCCGCGUGAGUGAUGAAGGCCUUAGGGUUGUAAAGCUCUUUUACCCGGGAUGAUAAUGACAGUACCGGGAGAAUAAGCCCCGGCUAACUCCGUGCCAGCAGCCGCAGUAA